AGAUUGAACGCUGGCGGCAGGCCUAACACAUGCAAGUCGAGCGGCAGCACGGGUACUUGUACCUGGUGGCGAGCGGCGGACGGGUGAGUAAUGCCUAGGAAUCUGCCUGAUAGUGGGGGAUAACGUUCGGAAACGGACGCUAAUACCGCAUACGUCCUACGGGAGAAAGUGGGGGAUCUUCGGACCUCACGCUAUCAGAUGAGCCUAGGUCGGAUUAGCUAGUUGGUAGGGUAAGGCCUACCAAGGCUACGAUCCGUAACUGGUCUGAGAGGAUGAUCAGUCACACUGGAACUGAGACACGGUCCAGACCUCCGUACGGGGAGCAGCAGGU
rnacentral:rRNA from 1 species